rnacentral:rRNA from 1 species
GAUGAACGCUGGCGGCGUGCCUAAUACAUGCAAGUCGAGCGAACGGACGAGAAGCUUGCUUCUCUGAUGUUAGCGGCGGACGGGUGAGUAACACGUGGAUAACCUACCUAUAAGACUGGGAUAACUUCGGGAAACCGGAGCUAAUACCGGAUGAUAUUUUGAACCGCAUGGUUCAAAAGUGAAAGACGGUCUUGCUGUCACUUAUAGCUGGAUCCGCGCUGCAUUAGCUAGUUGGUAAGGUAACGGCUUACCAAGGCAACGAUGCAUAGCCGACCUGAGAGGGUGAUCGGCCACACUGGAACUGAGACACGGUCCAGACUCCUACGGGAGGCAGCAGUAGGGAAUCUUACGCAAUGGGCGAAAGCCUGACGGAGCAACGCCGCGUGAGUGAUGAAGGUCUUCGGAUCGUAAAACUCUGUUAUUAGGGAAGAACAUAUGUGUAAGUAACUGUGCACAUCUUGACGGUACCUAAUCAGAAAGCCACGGCUAACUACGUG